rnacentral:rRNA from 1 species
UACGUAGGGUGCGAGCGUUAAUCGGAAUUACUGGGCGUAAAGCGUGCGCAGGCGGUUUUGUAAGCCAGAUGUGAAAUCCCCGGGCUUAACCUAGGAAUGGCAUUUGGGACUGCAAGGCUCGAGUGCGGCAGAGGAGACUGGAAUUCCUGGUGUAGCAGUGAAAUGCGUAGAUAUCAGGAGGAACACCGAUGGCGAAGGCAGGUCUCUGGGCUGACACUGACGCUGAGGAGCGAAAGCGUGGGGAGCGAACAGG